rnacentral:rRNA from 1 species
UACGUAGGGGCCUAGCGUUGUCCGGAUUUAUUGGGCGUAAAGAGCUCGUAGGCGGUUCGGUAAGUCAGGUGUGAAAACUCGAGGCUCAACCUCGAGAUGUCGGCGGAAACCACUUGGCUAGAGUCCGGAAGAGGAGAGUGGAAUUCCUGGUGUAGCGGUGAAAUGCGCAGAUAUCAGGAAGAACACCUAUGGCGAAGGCAGCUCUCUGGGACGGUACUGACGCUGAGACGCGAAAGCGUGGGGAGCGAACAGG